rnacentral:lncRNA from 1 species
GCCGCCUGUUAAACGAAUCAAUAGUUCAACACAUACAACACAUGUAACCAAAUCGAGUUACAACACACAGAACCAAAUCGAGUUACAACACACAGAAACAAAACUCAAUUUAACAAUCACAAACACAUCUCUCUGGAUCUUGAGGUGCAGCACGGAGAAGACCUACAUCUGCAGCACGGAGAAGAGGACAUAACUGCAUCAGCACGGAGAGAUCGCGAGGGAAACAGAGAUCGUGAGAGUUAGAGAGAGGGAGAGAGCAGUGAGAGAAGACAGAGAGAGAGGGAGAAAGCAGUGAGAGAAGACAGAGAGAGAGGGAGAGAGCAAUGAGAGCACUUACCUUGCAUGGGCCGUCGCCGUCGCUGUGCCGGAGAUCAAGGGACCCGCACGGGGUCGCGGGCGCAUCUCCGCCGAUGCUGCCUGCUACUGGAGCCCCGGAUCCAAGGGAAUCUUGCCGCCGUUGUUGCCUCUCCGGUCCGGCCCCUGCUGCCUGUUAUGAGGAGGAAGAGGGAAGGGAGGGUGCUAGGCGCUGGGGAAGAGGUCGGGAAGGAGGAGAUCGGCUUGGAUCUGGAGAGGAAGGGAGGCGGCUGGGAUCUGGAGAGGGAGAGGAGAGGAGGAGGCUGAGAUCUGGAGAAGGAGAGGAGAGGGAGAGGAGUUCGUGGGGAGAAGAGGGCCAGUGGAGGAGGGACUCGGUGGGGAGAUAGGAAUAGAAUAGGAG